rnacentral:rRNA from 1 species
ACGGCUCAGUAACACGUGGCUAACCUACCCUUAGGACGGAGACACCCCCGGGAAACUGGGGCUAAUACCCGAUAGGUGAGGAGGCCUAGAAUGGUUCUUCGCUGAAAAGGCGUUGAAACCAUGCUUUUCAACGUCGCCUAAGGAUGGGGCCGCGCCCGAUCAGGUUGUUGGUGAGGUAACGGCUCACCAAGCCUAUAACCGGUACGGGCCGUGAGAGCGGGAGCCCGGAGAUGGGCACUGAGACAAGGGCCCAGGCCCUACGGGGCGCAGCAGUCGCGAAAACUCCGCAAUGCGCGAAAGCGUGACGGAGCUACCCCGAGUGCCGUCCGCUGAGGAUGGCUUUUCCCCGGUGUAAUGAGCCGGGGGAAUAAGGAGAGGGCAAGACUGGUGUCAGCCGCCGCGGUAAUACCAGCUCUCCGAGUAGUAGGGACGAUUAUUGGGCUUAAAGCGUCCGUAGCCGGCUUAGCAAGUCUCCUGUUAAAUUCAGCGACCUAAUCGUUGAGCCGCGGGAGAUACUACUAGGCUAGGAGGCGGGAGAGGCCGACGGUAUUCCCGGGGUAGGGGUGAAAUCCUAUAAUCCCGGGAGGACCACCAGUGGCGAAGGCUGUCGGCUAGAACGCGCUCGACGGUGAGGGACGAAAGCUGGGGGAGCGAACCGGAUUAGAUACCCGGGUAGUCCCAGCUGUAAACGAUGCGGGCUAGGUGUUGAGGUGGCUACGAGCCACUUCAGUGCCGCAGGGAAGCCAUUAAGCCCGCCGCCUGGGGAGUACGGCCGCAAGGCUGAAACUUAAAGGAAUUGGCGGGGGG